GAUGAACGCUGGCGGCGUGCUUAACACAUGCCAGUCGAACGAAGCACUUUAUUUGAUUUCCUUCGGGACUGAUUCUUUUGUGACUGAGUGGCGGACGGGUGAGUAACGCGUGGGUAACCUGCCUUGUACAGGGGGAUAACAGUUGGAAACGGCUGCUAAUACCGCAUAAGCGCACGGCAUCGCAUGAUGCAGUGUGAAAAACUCGGGUGGUAUAAGAUGGACCCGCGUUGGAUUAGCGAGUGGGUGAGGUAACGGCCCACCAAGGCGACGAAGCAUAGCCGAGCUGGGAGGCUGACAGGCCAGAUUGGGACUGAGGCACAGACUAAAAUCGGACGGGAGGGAGCAGUGGGGAGUAUUACGCAAUGGGGGAAAGCCUGAUGCAGCGGCGCGGGGGAAGCGAAGAAGUGUUUCGGAAUGUAAAGCUCUAUCAGCAGGGAAGAUAAUGACGGUACCUGGUUAAGAAGCACCGGCUAAAUACGUG
rnacentral:rRNA from 1 species